rnacentral:rRNA from 1 species
GACGAACGCUGGCGGCGUGCUUAACACAUGCAAGUCGAACGAGUGGCGACCGGGUGAGUAACACGUGGGUGCCCUGCCCUGCACUUCGGGAUAAGCCUGGGAAACUGGGUCUACUACCGGAUAGUUUGGGAUGGGCCCUCGGCCUAUCCGCUUGUUGGGUGGGUAAUGGCUACCAAGGCGCGACGGGUAGCCGGCCUGCGAGGGUGGACGGCCAAAUUGUGACUGAGACACGGCACAGACGCCGCCGGGAGGCAGCAGUGGGGAAUAUUGCACAAUGGGCGGAAGCCGGAUGCAGCGACGCCGCGUGAGUGAAGAAGGUUUUCGGAUCGUAAAACUCUGUUGUUAGAAAAGCGGUAUCUAACCAGAAAGCCACGGCUAACUACGUGCCAGCAGCCGCGGUAAUUC